UACGUAGGGUGCAAGCGUUAAUCGGAAUUACUGGGCGUAAAGCGUGCGCAGGCGGUUUUGUAAGUCUGUUGUGAAAUCCCCGGGCUCAACCUGGGAACUGCAUUUGUGACUGCAAGGCUAGAGUACGGUAGAGGGGGAUGGAAUUCCGCGUGUAGCAGUGAAAUGCGUAGAUAUGCGGAGGAACACCGAUGGCGAAGGCAAUCCCCUGGACCUGUACUGACGCUCAUGCACGAAAGCGUGGGGAGCAAACAGG
rnacentral:rRNA from 1 species